rnacentral:rRNA from 1 species
GCUUAGAAGCAGCCACUCAUUUAAAGAGUGCGUAAUAGCUCACUGGUCGAGUGAUUGUGCGCCGAAAAUGUACCGGGGCUAAACUGUGUACCGAAGUCUAGGGAUCGUGAUAAACGAUCGGUAGGGGAGCAACGUGUGCGGGCUGAAGCCGAAGCGGAAGCGACGGUGGACUGCACGGGAGAGAGAAUGCCGGCAUGAGUAGCGAGAGCAAAGUGAGAAUCUUUGCCGUCGAAAGCCUAAGGUUUCCUGAGGAAGGCUCGUCCUCUCAGGGUAAGUCAGGACCUAAGCCGAGGACAAAAGUCGUAGGCGAUGGACAACUGGUUGAUAUUCCAGUACCACCUUUAGCGUUUGACUGAAGCAGUGACACAGAAGGAUAGACAGAGCGCGUGACUGGUAGAGCGCGUCCAAGCGAUGAGGGAGUUAAGUAGUGAAGCACGCUUAACAAUCCUGGGUCGUGAUGGGGACUGAAAAUAAGUAGGGAAGCUGUUGAAUUCACGCUGGCGAGAAAAGCUGCUAAGGAGCGAAAGGGUGCCUGUACCGCAAACCGACACAGGUAGGCGAGGAGAGAAUCCUAAGACGAGCGGGAGAACCCAUGUUAAGGAACUCGGCAAAAUGACCCUGUAACUUCGGGAUAAAGGGAGCCACGAGAGUGGCCGCAGAGAAUAGGCCCAAGCGACUGUUUACCAAAAACACAGGUCUGUGCGAAGUAGAGAUACGACGUAUACGGGCUGACGCCUGCCCAGUGCCGGAAGGUUAAGGGGAAGUGUUAGGGCAACCGAAGCACGGAACUUAAGCCCCGGUGAACGGCGGCCGUAACUAUAACGGUCCUAAGGUAGCGAAAUUCCUUGUCGGGUAAGUUCCGACCCGCACGAAUGGCGUAACGACUUGGGCACUGUCUCAACAUGGGACCCGGCGAAAUUGUAGUAUGUGUGAAGAUGCACAUUACCCGCGAUAGGACGGAAAGACCCCGUAGAGCUUUACUGUAGUUUAACAUUGGAUUUCGGUAACAUAUGUACAGGAUAGGUGGGAGGCGAAGAACCAGGGACGCCAGUUUCUGGGGAGCCGACCUUGGGAUACCACUCUUGUGUUAUUGGAGUUCUAACGAAUUGCCGUGAACCGGGAUUCGGACAGUGUUAGAUGGGCAGUUUGACUGGGGCGGUCGCCUCCUAAAGAGUAACGGAGGCGUCCAAAGGUUCCCUCAGAAUGGUUGGAAACCAUUCGCAGAGUGUAAAGGCAGAAGGGAGCUUGACUGCGAGACCGACAGGUCGAGCAGGUGCGAAAGCAGGGCUUAGUGAUCCGGCGGUAUGAGAGUGGAAUUGCCGUCGCUCAACGGAUAAAAGCUACCCUGGGGAUAACAGGCUGAUCUCCCCCAAGAGUCCACAUCGACGGGGAGGUUUGGCACCUCGAUGUCGGCUCGUCGCAUCCUGGGGCUGAAGCAGGUCCCAAGGGUUUGGCUGUUCGCCAAUUAAAGCGGCACGCGAGCUGGGUUCAGAACGUCGUGAGACAGUUCGGUCCCUAUCCAUCGUGGGCGCAGGAGAUUUGAGAGGAGCUGUCCCUAGUACGAGAGGACCAGGAUGGACGCACCAAGGGUGAAUCAGUUGUUCUGCCAAGAGCAUAGCUGGGUAGCCAAGUGCGGAUCGGAUAAACGCUGAAGGCAUCUAAGCGUGAAGCCGACCUCAAGAUAAGAUCUCCCACCAGAAAUGGGUAAGACCCCUGGAAGACUACCAGGUUGA